UGUGAGCGUGUGUCUCUCCUCCGGCCGGCCC
rnacentral:piRNA from 1 species